ensembl:snRNA U6 U6 spliceosomal RNA
GAGUGCUCCCUUACGCCAUGCAUAUACUAAAGUGGAAGGAUACAGAAAAAACUAGCAUUGACCCCAAGCAAGAAUGACACACAAAUCCAUGAAGCAUGCCAUACUUUU